rnacentral:lncRNA from 1 species
CUCUUUAUAUAAAGAUUUUGAAACCAAUUUAUAUAAAUAAAGUUAUAUCACACUUUGUGUAAACAUAAAAUAGCCAAGCUUUCUCUUAAAACUUUGUACAAACGUUCGUAUAGUUUAUAUGUAAAACUCAAAAUUUUGAAUUUUAUAAACUUUGUAAAUCCGUGUCAUAUUAUUAAUUAAGCAUUAUCUUACUUAAUUUGGAAAUCAACACUUAACCAGUGGGGCAAACUUAUCCCAAAAUACUUUUCAAUAACCGGUAAAUUAUAAAUGCAUAUUUUUACCACUCGUAUAAUUUCAACGACAAAUAUUAACCAUUAUCUUUACAAUUAUAUUCUUUCAAACGUCUCUGCUUACGGAGAAUUGAGUCGUAGGGAGAGGUAGUUAAAUACCUAAACACUCUUACACACUCGGCCCAAAUUGGGAGGAUUGACUCAAUCUAGAUCUAUACUUCUUCGAAUAGAAUCUUCAAUAUAUCAAUUUGUCUAUAACCGACACUAUUCGUCGCUCCUCCACAAGCCAAAAAGGCACAAUAAACAAGCCACACAGGCACAAUAUAAAUAUAAAUAGAGGAAUCGAGAUCAUUACUAACGUUUAAAAGCAGUCGUAUAGUAACGAAGAAAGAAAUACUUGACGCCUGUUGCCUCGUCAGACGAAGUUGUAUCUAGCAACCACAGACGAAAAAUAACCAUUCGCAUAAAUCUUUCCAUAAGAAAUAGAUCUACACCAAAUUUCUUUAUUAUAAAUAUAUGCUGUGUACAUAGACCCACAAUAUAUGAUUCCUCCUGGAUUAACGGUUAUAGAGCUAGGUGUCGAUUCCAGGAUUUGAUCCCUACAAAGGAAAAAUACACCAUCAUAAAACUCUCUCUUUCACCCCUUUCGAUACAUUCCUCCCACAAACACACACGGGAUACACAAUCCACGAAAUCCAUGAUGACGAUUCUUCAACUCAUAAAAUUUGUCGUUCACUAGGGUCACUAAUGCGGAUCUUAGAUUAUUAAGACUUUCGAAACUUAGUGAAAUUAGUUACAUAGUGAAAUUAAUGUAGCGUUCGACUAUUGUGGCGGUAAUAAUUUGUAUAGUUCUUUACUUCAGCCGAUAAGGAGGAUGUUCGUUCGCAUAGCCGAAUACUCAUUUAUGCAAAUAUUCGAUAAAUUGCAUAAUUGAUAUGAUAUAUAAUUUAUUAGGUAAUAAUCCCUAAAGAUUUGAGAAUCAAUUAUAUCAUUGUAUGUCACGCAUUUAGUAUUAUAACUAAAGUGAUUUAUAUUUUUAUAAUAUUUAUAAAAUAAAUUAUAUCAUUUACUUAGAAAUCAUUCCGACAUAAUAAUCAAGAGGAUAAUAAUAACAAUAAUUGAUUUUUUAGUAUAUUUUCAAUUAAUUAUUAUAUAUUCGUCAAAUCUUUAUUUAUAGUCGUUUAAGACAAUGUACAUUUCCUUUAUACACAAUUAUAUCAAAUAACACAUUUUGUUGUGGAUAUAGUGUCUUUUUACGUUUUCUCAAUAUUUUCAUGUAUAUAUAUACGACGAGUAUUACAGUUUAUGAUUCGUCGAAUAACUUAUAUCUUUAUGUCAAUCUACUUAUAAUCCAGUGAUUUUUAUUAAUAUUAAUUAAUAAUAUCACAACAAGGUAUAAUUAUAUCAUUUAUAGCAUUCUAAUAUAACUUAUAUAAUUUACUAAUGCUUUAUACCUUUUAAAUUGUUAUUUUCAUAACUGUUAAACAAUAAUAAAGUAUGAUGUCAUUUUAUGUAUAAGACUUGAAAAUCAUCAAACUUUAAAUAGACACUCAUGUAUUCUCCCCCAAAUAUUAAAAAUGUAAAAGAGGGGCCGUAGAAACUUACAUUCGAUGCGUGAUCUCGAUCUAGGCUUGCUUCGUGAAGCUUGUCAUGAGAAACUGCAAAUUAACCACUCUUGGACUUUAAAACAUUUCCGGGUUCCUUUUGUAACCAAUUAAAAUAAAGGAAUUGUUGUGUUCCAUUAUUAUAAACAAUAGGACUGAUUUAAAUAAAACAAGGUAUCUGAGGGCUGAUUUUGUAAUUAUACAAGCUGUUGAUCAAACAAUUACCACAAGGGGUGGGUUUUGCUCUUUAAAAAUUAUUUGAGGGGCUGGUUUGGUUUAGUUGUAAAACAAAAUUAAAAAGGGAAAACGCCAUCGUGGUUAUCAGAUCGAGCAAAAAAAAAAGCGGCUACACAAGAUCGAUGGGGAAAUCACCGUUCUCACUCAUCGGGAAAAAAAAAGGGGCGAUCGCAGAAAUUGCGGGUCAUCGGAGGUGGGUUAGCAACUCACGAGGAGGGGUCCAUCAAGACCGGCGAUCCUUCCUGGUUUUCGUGACUUCAUCGCCGGCUACAAGGAAAACAAAAAGGCAUCAAUAGCAGCGACUGGCGGUGGUGGAGCAGGUGUCGAAGUGGCUGUUCAGUGGGCAAGGAAAACAACGAAAGGUAGGUUGUUCUGGUCUCUUGUGGAUUCGACUAGAGAGAAGAGAAGAUACGAGGGGCUGCUACCCUCAUUGAUUGUCGGAGAUCUCCACCUCCUGUGGAGUUUUUAUGUGAUUGAAAUUAAAGAAGAGGGGAAGACAGGAAGCAAAAUCAAACACUGAUAUUGUGGGGUGUUUUGUUGUUUCAGUUGACAAGAAAUAGAAAGAGGAAGAAAACGGGGAUGCUGCCCCUCUUGGUCUCGCCGGAAAACAGCCACCACCAUCGGUUCCUUGAGCAGUAAAUCACGAGGAAGAAAGAAGAAAGAAGAAAGAAGAGAGAUAAUUUGAAGCAAUGAACCCAUUCCAAGUAGUCCAAGGCUGAAAAUCUCUUAGCUUUCUAUAUGAUUCGGUUGUACCACUGUGAUUCCUUUGGAGUGUUGUUUUGAGUAAGUUGCAUAAUUCUCAAUUUCAUUUAUUGGUUGUACUUUUAUAUAGAUUUAGAAGCAAUAUAAUGCUUCAAUCAUUCUAUGUAUUGAUGUAUAUAUUACAUGUAUUUGUAUAUGUAUAAUCACAUUCUAUGUAUUUAUGUAUGUAUUAACAUGUAUUUUCCAUAUGUACAAACAUGUAUUUAUGUAUUAUUGAGUGAUGUGGUAGAAAAUAUAAAUAUAGAUGCUAUAGUUAUAUUGUCGAAAGUUUAUAUUCAACUAAGCAUGACUCAAAGUGUCAAAAGUACAAUAUCAUAUUUGGAUAUCUUAAAAUGAUAAUAUUUUCUUAACUUUCUCAAUUUGUGUGUCUUUGAUCCGGAUAUGAAAUAAUUUUUCUAAAAUUGAUAAAUAAUAUCUUUAAUAUACUUUAUAAACAUAAAAUUUCACGUAAUUGGUGUUUAUUGUAUAACGGUUCGCGGUGGUUUGACUGCUGAAAUUUGACCAAUUUUUACCAGUUGUUACAUUAUCCCCCCGUUGAAAGGAAUUCCGUCCCGAAAUUCAACGCGUAGAUAAAACAUUUAUAAAACAAUCGGAGGAAUUUUCUUUUUGCUUGACCCACACAUGAUCAUUCUAUAAUCGUUUUAAGUCGCUUAACUAAAGAUUGGUUAUUCAAUCGAAUAGAUGGCUCUAUCCUAAUUCCUACAAAAAGAAAUGGAUAGGAAAUACGAUCGAAUCAAGUCUUUUAACGUUCUCAAAUAUAAUAUAUAAUUCUAUCGCGUGUACUUUACCAAUUAUGAAAUACUCGCACAGUUUCCUAGCUCACUUCAUGGAAGCAAAGAUAACAAGUGUGUCAUCGGAUCGACACUCCUUGACAUUUGGCGUAGGAAAGAUGUCGUUUACACCGUUUAUUUAUCAAGAUAACUUAAUACCAAUAUCAGGAACAAAUUCUGUUAAGAAUUUCUAAGGUCGUUUGAGUUGCAAGUUUAACCUGCCUAGUUCUCUGAGCCGAAUCAUUUCUCUAAAAGACUAGGCAUUUAAAAUCUACAGAGUCUCUGACUUGGAAGUCGAGAGACUUACAUUUUUCGUUCACAUAACUCUCUUGUCUUUCAUGACUAGUCUAAAAUAUUUCUUCGGUUCACAUAAUCUUUUUUUUUUGUGAUCUCAUGAGCGAUUCUUGGAUUCACAUGCAACACAUCACUUGCAUGCUCUCUCUUCAAUUUUGCAUCUUUAAUCAUUGCUCAACUUAAUGGGGAUCAACACUUUUGUUGUACAAAGCCUCAAGCGUUGAGUUCUUUAUGCUAGUGUGACAACUAUCAUUGUAGGAAACUCAAUUAUCAAAAAUGAGUAUUCCAUGCAAUAUUCAAAGUCUGUCAUACAGGUUCAGAGCAUAUUACUCAUGUCUAGAUGGUUCAUUCGGUCUGACCAUGCUCAAGGAUUUCAAUGGUUGUCAAAACUAAUAGGUUAAUCUACUAUCUUAGUGAGGGAGGAUAGAGAUUGGCACCUUAUGUAGUCUGACAAUUUCUUUGGCAAGUACUGGUUAGCUUUUCCAUUUCACAUGGUUCUUAGAUUAGCAGGAAGUAGGCAUACUCAGUCAAUCUUUAGACCACUACUCGAAUAUAAUUAGAAACCAUUAGGUUUCUUGGGUAGUUUUGAUAUAAAGUCCAUUAACGUUGGUUCCCAUUUGUACUUGUCACAACUAGAAAUUUUGUGUCUUGUAAUCACUAUACUCAAGUAAAUGUUGAAUCAAAAACUUAAGAGCAUGCGUGAUACCUAGUAUUAUGACAUCAAAAACUUCAAUCAAAUACAUCAUACAAAUACUACAAAUAGUCAUCAAGCAAUUGGAAACCCUAGAAGUUCUUGUUUAGGUCCAUAUGGGACUAGGACUUCCUUAUUGGACUCAAUGGAUCAAUAAGCUUCCAAUUUGACAACCAUGGGCUUAGAACCCUUAAUUGGGCUCUAAUUGGACCCACAUUAAUUUAUUUCAACAUUUUGGGCCAUAUUGGGCCUAGAAUGAAAUAAAUUAAGAGUUUUGAACCAUGAAUAACCUAAACUAGUCCAACAAAGUGUAAAAAUCAUAUUAUGUUCCUUUUAGGUUAAAACUCCUCCAAGCUAACUUCUACAUGGGCUAGAGGGCAUAAAAGCCCAAAUUUUCCCUUUUCCUUCCAAAUUCUCGGCCCAAGGCCCAAACCCAAGAAGAAAUGAAGAGAGUUGACUUGCAAUUGAUACCUCAUUAUUAUCUUUUGGUUUUCCAUGCAACCUAUUCCAUGUUUCCAUGCAUAUCACCUCAAGGUCUAUUUCUCCCUCUCUCUCUUGCUCUCGGCCAUUUCAAAUACACACACACCUCACAAACUCUCUCUAGAUUACUCAAGAAAUCAUCCUUCCUCUCCAUUCAAAAAUCUCGAAAAUUAAGAGGCUUUCAAGAGGAUAUUUCCACAAACUCUUCAUCUAAGGUAAGGUUAUGCUUGGAUCUAUGACUUAGAUUCUUUGUUUUAUCAAAAUCUCUUCCUAAUCCAUGCAAAAAUCGUGAUCUUGCAUCCUAGAACCACCUCAAACUCGAGAUCUUCAAGAAAAGGGUGCUAAGGCCAAAAAUCACCAAGCUUUCUUCCAUCUUUUCUUCAAAAACCGAAACCACACCCUAAGGUGAGCUUCAUACUCCCUAUUUUUCUGUUUUAUAAGUUUUGUGGGGGGGGGGAUACAAGUGAAAGUGUAGAUCUAUAUGUGUUUUGUAUGUCUUGUAUGAUUUCUAUGCUUAUAUGUGUGUUUUUGUGUGUUUAUGAUGUUGGAUCUAGUCAUAAGCCCCUAAAAAUCGAGAUAUACUUUAUGUUAAAUGAUACUAGCAUCAAAUAUAUUUCUACAUACAAAGUGUUCCAAGAAAAAUAGCUAAGUGGCUUAAUAACAUCUUCUUUGGGCUAAAAACUCAAUUUUUGGACAUAAAAUGUUAAAAAUAUAAAGUUAAAGGGCCCAAAAUGACAUAUUACGAAUUCUGAUGGAUGAGAAGAGUCAAAACAGUUUCAAUAAAGUAUUUUCUGGAAAUAUACUCUUUUGGAGGGUUAAAAAUAUAAAUUUCAAGCUUAAUGGGCUAAAAAUGACAUUUUUGGCCCAAUAGGGCCCAAUAUGCGAAAUUUUCUGUUUUGAAGGGCCAAAACUGUAUUUUUCUGCAAAACAGUGGACUACUAGUGUCCCAAGUCCUUUUCUAAGGUUAAAAAUGCUUUUCAUAAUUAAAAAGGACCAAAGUUGCAAAAAUUUUCCAAUUUGGGCCAAAAGUGUAAAAAUUGCGAAAAGAGGGGGUUACAACCGAGAAAACUGUAUUUUCAGGGACUAAAACUGUUUUCAACUAAAAAUAUGCUGAAAAAUAUCAAUUUCAAUAAGUUUUGGUGUUAAAAUGUCAAGAAAAAUGGUUUAAGGAUCAAACCGGAAAUUUAUUUAAUUAAAGGGUUGAAAAAGUAAAUUUACAACAAAAAGAGGGGCUGUAACAGAAAAGUUGAAAUGUUAAUUCAAUACAUCCGUUGUGAUCAAACACUGGCACUACGACUACCGACGAAUUAUAUUACACAACAACACCAAAAAUCGUUAUCAAACGAAUUGAUUCGGUCUCGAAUCAAUAACAAACCCGAAACUACUAACACGACGAUAACUCGACUCAUACACGGAANAUUUGGGAAUUCAAUACACACGUGAGAGUGCACAGACGUCGACGCACCAUCUUUGGGCCCCAAAGUGUAAAAUCUUGUUUGUUGGGCCUAGCUAGCCCAAUGACUUGAUCUUUAGGCCCGAAGACUUCAACCUUACGAGUUGUUGAGUCUUACAUGAUCCAACACAACGUAAAAGGACUUUCAAUGGCUUUUAUACUAUUGGUCCCCAAGGGUCCUUUGGUACUGCUAGUAAAGUCGGUUAUUAAAAUGCGAGUCGGGUCAAGGGCCCUUCGCACUUUUUUUUUUUUUUUUUAUCCCCAACCGGCUAACGGAGUUAUCGAGGUCUUCGUGCUCUCUUUCUCUUUGGAUGUGGGACUACAAGAAGUCGGGGCGGUUGGAUUACGUGAAUAGUAUGUACGACGCCUACGGGAUCGUUAGUAUAAGUUGUAAACUGGCCGUUUGUGUAACGCGUGUUUAUAGCAAUUCACCAUGCGCAAUAAUCCGACGUCGCCUGGAAUCAAUGACUUCACACGCCGCGGUGGUUCUACAACUACAUGGAAUUCAAAGUAUUAGGAAAAUAUCGGGUUUUCCUAGGGUUUUACAAUACAUACAGUUUCGAAAUGUACACAAGUUUAAUGAACACUUUUUACAACUAUAGAAACAAACAAGCAUACUUAUGGAUCGUCACAAACUUUUUCAGAAAAUAUCGGAUUUUCUGGUGGAUUUCAAAAUAAUACAAAACGUUGCUUUUCAAAUACCGCUUAUGAACUCACCAACAUUUCAUAUGUUGACGUUUUUCAAAAUACUUGUAUUCUCAGGUAACAAGUGAACCAAAGGAAAACGUACUCAGUGAUGGCUUGCCGUUUGUUUAUCUAUGUACCGAACAAUUUAUUUUUGGGAAUGUAAUGCUAAAACAUUGUACUCAGUGUAAACCUUAUCAGUUGUACUAUAUUAAUGCAUGGUGACGAAUGAUGUUAUGUUUCAUAUAUAUUCAAUGUUAUGGUAUUCAAUUAAGUCACGACAGCCCUCGGACGUUUCCGCCGUUUGGUUCGGGGGUGUGACAGUACUUGCGUAUUUCUUUACCAUUACUCUAGUCCUGAGUGUUUCUGACAUUCUGCAUUUGGUACAAUUCUAACAUUUGUCCACUUAAGUGGCAAUCUCCUCUUUCAUGCACGUUCAUCACUUCAAUUCUUUUAAAUCUAAAAAUAUUUAGUCAGAGCCUAGAUGGAUGGGACACUUUUAUCUGUGAGCUUCGUCUAAGACUAUGCUCUCGUGUUCACUGCACUUAGGCGUACAAAUUUGGUUUAUAAAGUAUCGCGUCCCGUCAUCCCUAAGCUUGACUUAUUUAUCCAUCUUUCACAGAGUUUCUCUCGUGAAGCCUUCCCUCUCUCAGAAUAUUGAGUUAAACUUCUCGAAUAUGAGCCGAAGGUUGUGAAUGGAUAUUCAUAAUUAGCAUUCAUACUCAACGAGGUUUGGUACGUUCUUUUCGGCUCAAGACCUUUUCUACUAUGUCAAUCUCAUUACAAUGUUAACGAAUCUCACCCAUCAUGAUGACAACAAUUUUCUCAUUUAUGUCAUUCAACCAAAAGCAUAGGCAUAAACAAAAGGGAAAACAAAAGGGCAUCAAUAGCAGUGACUGGCAGUGGUGGAGCAGGUGUCGAAGUGGCUGUUCAGUGGGCAAGGAAAACAGCGAAAGGUAGGUUGUUCUGGUCUCUUGUGGAUUCGACUAGAGAGAAGAGAAGAUACGAGGGGCUGCUACCCUCAUUGAUUGUUGGAGAUCUCCACCUCCUAUGGAGUUUUUCUGUGAUUGAAAUUAAAGAAGAGGGGAAAACAGGAAGCAAAAUCAAACACUGAUAUUGUGGGGUGUUUUGUUGUUUCAGUUGACAAGAAAUAGAAAGAAGAAGAAAACGGGGAUGUUACCCUUCUUGGUCACGCCGGAAAACAGCCACCACCAUCGGUUCCUUGAGCAGUAAAUCACGAGGAAGAAAGAAGAAAGAAGAAAGAUAAUUUGAAGCAAUGAACCCAUUCCAGGUAGUCCAAGGCUGAAAAUCUCUUAGCUUUCUAUAUGAUUUGGUUGUACCACUGUGAUUCUUUGGAGUGUUGUUUUAAGUAAGUUGAAGUGUAGAAGAAACAUAAUUCUCAAUUUCAUUUAUUGGUUGUACUUUUAUAUAGAUUUAGAAGCAAUAUAAUGCUUCAAUCAUUCUAUGUAUUGAUGUAUAUAUUACAUGUAUUUGUAUAUGUAUAAUCACAUUCUAUGUAUUUAUGUAUGUAUUAACAUGUAUUUUCUAUAUGUACAAACAUGUAUUUAUGUAUUAUUGAGUGAUGUGGUAGAAAAUAUAAACAUAGAUGCUAUAGUUAUAUUGUCG